AGGUCAAGUAGAAAAGGGCGCAUGGUGAAUGCCUUGGCACUAGAAGCCGAUGAAGGACGUGACGAACCACGAAAGGCUUCGGGGAGCAGUAAGUAAGCAAUGAUCCGGAGAUAUCCGAAUGGGGGAACCCAAUACCGUGAGGUAUUAUCAUUAACUGUUAAGGUUAAUGAAGGAAGACGCAGUGAACUGAAACAUCUAAGUAGCUGCAGGAAGAGAAAGAAAAAUCGAUUUCCCAAGUAGCGGCGAGCGAACAGGAAAGAGCCCAAACCAGCUGGCUUGCCAGUUGGGGUUGUAGGACUGCGAUAUA
rnacentral:rRNA from 1 species